rnacentral:lncRNA from 1 species
AAUUCUUGCCCAGCUUCAGAAACUGCUCUUUCUUUCUCCAUCUGUGUCUGCAGCAAGGCCUGCCUGUCCAGGUCCUCAUCCUUCUGUCUGUCUCUAGCCUGCUCUACACUUAGAAACACAGAGCCUUCUGCUGCUACCUUUCCUGUGGGAAUCAACUGCUCUUCCCCAUGCCUGCUACUUCCUUCUGUGCCUGCCUCUGCCUCACUAGCUAUGUUCAGAUAGCACUCCCCUUUCUCUGUAGACUGUUCUGCUGAUGCCAGCAGAACUCCUGUAGGACUCCUCUCCCCUAAGAGAACCUCCGAAAUCCCUGCUUUCUCCCUCAGUCCCACAUCCAUGUUAGCAUUCUGGGGAUAGCAGGUACCAUCUUCCUGCAUCCCUGCUCUCUCCCUCAAUCCCAAAUCCACAUCAGCACCCUGGGGAUGGUGAGUACCAUCUUCCUGCAUCCCUGUUCUCUCUUCCAGUUCCACAUCCAUGUCAGCAUCCUGGGGAUGACAGGUACCAUCUUCCUGCAUCCCUACUCUCUCCUUCAGUUCUACAUCCAUGUUAGCAUCCUGGGGAUGACAGGUACCAUCUUCCUGCAUCCCUACUCUCUCCUUCAGUUCUACAUCCAUGUCAGCACCCUGGGGAUGACAGGUACCAUCUUCCUGCAUGUCCACUCUCUCUCUGAGUUCCACAUCUAUGCCAGCAUCCUGGGGAUGGCAGGUACCAUCUUUCUGCAUCCCUGAUUCCUCCCUCACUCCUGCAUGGGCAUCAGUAUCCUCAGGCUGGGAAGAUUCAUCUUUCUUCAUGGCUUCUUCUUUCAGUGUGUGCAUCUCUUGUGCAUCUUGCUCUGGUUGCUCAUUUGCGCUGAUGGCUGCUCUUUCCUCUGUCCCU